GCAGGCGGCCUUGUUAAGUCAGAUGUGAAAGCCCGGGGCUUAACCUCGGAAUUGCAUUUGAAACUGGCAGGCUAGAGUCUUGUAGAGGGGGUAGGAAUUUCAGGUGUAGCGGUGAAAUGCGUAGAGAUCUGAAGGAAUACCAGUGGCGAAAGGCAGCCCCCUGGACAAAGACUGACGCUCAGAUGCGAAAGCGUGGGGAAGCAAACAGGAUUAGAUACCCUGGUAG
rnacentral:rRNA from 1 species